rnacentral:rRNA from 1 species
UACGUGGGGUGCGAGCGUUGUCCGGAAUCACUGGGCGUAAAGGGCGCGUAGGUGGUUUGAUAAGGGUGUGGUGAAAGUCCGGAGCUCAACUCCGGAUCUGCCGUGCCGACUGUCAAACUCGAGGGCUGUAGAGGCAGACGGAAUUCCGGGUGUAGCGGUGGAAUGCGUAGAGAUCCGGAGGAAGACCGGUGGCGACGGCGGUCUGCUGGGCAGUUUCUGACAAUGAGGCGCGACAGCGUGGGGAGCAAACAGG